CGCGCUCGGGCACCGCUGCAGAGCCCUUGGGCUCCUGCCGAAUUGACACCCUCCCCUCUCCCUCCCUUUUCCACCCCCAUCCUUCCCGUGUGCUCCUGCCUGGCCUGCAUCUCCCCUCCCUUCCCUUCUCCCUCCCAUCCCGCAGCAAACAAAAUGGCUGCUGCAUGGCCAUUUUGUUUUCUGUCUGGAAGGGGAAGCCAGGACGCUGGGGCUUGGCUCUCUUUUGGAGGCUGCGGCCAUGUUCGAGCCCAACUCUCCUGUCUCUACGUGGCACCGGCUGGAGCGAGAGAGAGAGAGAGAGAGAGAGAGAGAGAGAAAAGAAAGAAAGAAAAAAAAGGACCUUCUGGAACGAGCCCAAAGUCAGAGGCAGAGAGUGGGUAGUUUUGGCGUAUGUUGAGCACUGAAAAUGCCUGGAAUUGCCAAACUGAGCUUUUGUAUUAGCAGCGUUAAGGCUACUGGGUGCAGGCAGAGCCGCGGGGCUGGCCGGACGGAAAGGUUUGUUCUCCAUAUUCAAUAAACCAGCUCUGCUUUCUUCUCUGUUUAGAAAGUACCAGAGAGCACUGAGGUCUGAUUUGCUUUUGGACGGGCGGACGGCUUUACGCGUCGGCUGGCUGCGAUCAGAGCCGGCCGCUGCCGGACGGUAGCAUUUUAACCUGUUGUGUGUCCUCCUGCUUUUUGGGGGACGCUGAGGGCUGACCUGUCCAUGGAUUUGGCAGCACCUGGACGGAGCUGAUGUGAUCUGGAGGACAUUUUUGUUGUUGUUGUUGUUGUUGUUUUGGUUUUCUUUUCUUCUUUUUCUUUUCCUUCUUAAUUUUUUGGAAGGGAUUUUUUUGCUUUGUUUAUUGCCUUCUUGCCUCGAAAGUUUUCGUCUCAAAGACAGAAAAAGAACCAACCCCCAAACAACUGGAUUUGAACUCUAAAAGGAACAACUCUCCUUGGCUUUUUGAAGCCCUUUGCUUUACUCAUGAAGCUGUUUACUGCACACCUUAAGAUGUGACACACACGAUGGAGAUGCCAUCGGCUGCGAGACGCCUUCAAAGUUUAAGGGAACUCGGUGGUGCUGCCACCCGAUUCAGACGCAGGAGCGUGGCACAAAGAGCAGAGCCUGUGCCAAGGCAAAGGCAGGGGGAGAUGUUUUUUUCUAUUUUUUGAAGGGUUUUUCCCCCCCACCCCAAAGUGGUCCUGCGUUUCCUGCGCUAGCCUGGUUGCCUUGGAGGUAGUGGCCACAUCUCUUCGCUCACGGAUGCGGAUCUCUGUCCGGCGGCGCGGAGCCGGGGACUGGGCUCCGAUUAGCCUCGGUUUUGGGGCGAUCAUCCUCCCUUUCCUGGACACCUGGAGAGAUGCAGAUUCUUUCAGAGAGGAGCUGGGAAGGAGAGCAGGAGGAGGUGAAAUGGCUUUUCUUGCACGGAAAGGAGCUGCUGAGCAGCCAGUGCCUGGAUAAAGAUCAGCUCACUGCCUUCAGCUGCCACGGUCCCAAGCUGUCCUUGAGGCUGAGGUAGUAGAUUGAAUAGUUGUGGAGUCCAAUCCUCCCUUUGAGCUAACUAUACAAUCUACUGUCUUUCCUAAGGAGACAGUAAGGUCUUCAGCCUCUCCCACCUACCUCAACACCAAGCACGGAGGCAGGUGGUGGCCAUGAGUCAGGCAGAGUCUGCUCUGCUCUGUGGAGGUGAGGUAGUAGGUUGUAUAGUUUGGUGGGAGGGAUUUGAUCCCAUUUCAGGUGAUAACUAUACAGUCUAUUGCCUUCCUUAAAGAGCAGCAAAGCCACUGGAGGACUCAGCCACAGAGCUGCUGAGGCAUCCUCUCUUCCUGCUGAGGGGCCCAAAACACUGCUGCUGAACAGCUCUGGGGGGGUCACCUCUUACAGCAUCCAGGAUUGCAUCUGCCCAGGGACUGCUCCACGCCUCAGCCACAGGCACAUGGAUCCAGCUGCUCACAGACAACCUCCCUCUGCUUGCUGGGGGCAAGAGGCAAUGGCAUGAGCUGGGCUGCUCCAGCUCCUGGUGGUCAGCUCCAGCCUUGUUCUGCAGGAGGUGAGCUCCAUUUUUAACGGGUUUAAGUUCUCCUCUGGCCUGGAGCCUGGAGGGGGCCAGAGGUACAAAGAGGAUGGACCUGGACCUGUGAUUUGAGUUUGCUGUGCCUUGUUCUGAAGUCUGGCUUAAGAGCUGGGUGCAAGGCUGUGGACUCACAGCCCUGGCAGCUGAUGGGCCUUGGCUGGCCCCUGCUCAGGAAGUGCUUUCUGCUCUGGCCAGGCUCCCAGCUGUGCUCCAGUGCAGAGCCAGAGGGUGGCUCUUUCUUUCUGCUGUGCUGAUCCUUACCAGCCCAGCUCCCCUCUGUGCAAGGUCUGGAGAGGGUGUGAGGGCUCCUGUGUGCUCACACAGCACAAACCACAGCUCAGGCUGACUCCCUGUGCUGGGAGGAGAUGGAAGUCUAAGGGUGCAAACCCUAACCCCUCUGGAUUCUCCAGGCUGGGAGCACUCUCAUCUGCCAGCAGACAUGAGAAGAGAGCUUUCUUCAGAGCUCUGACACCUGGCAAGGGGCAGGGAAUUGUCUUCUCCUUGGGAGCAGAUGGGUCUGACCCUCUGCCCUGCUCCAGUUAGGUAGGAUCAAGCCCACGAGUGGAGCUGUGCCGGGAUAGGGCUGCAGCAGCUCUUGAGGCCAUCUCAGGCCAUCACCACUGCCAGGGAGAUCUGAGCUGCUGGGGAGCGAGGGCAGGCAGAGGAGGCCUCCUCGGAUGAGGUGGGAGGAGGAGAGCAGCAGAAAGAAAUCGAAGCCCUGAAAUUUCAGCCUGAACAAGUGCAGAGAGAGGCCCAGACCUGGCUGCCUGGGGCCGUGGGAGCCCCCAGAAGGAAGCAGCUGGCUUAAGGCACCUCUGCUGCCUGGGGCUGGGACGUGACUUCCUCAGGCUGGGCCACAGCUGCUGGGUGGGGAUGCUGCAGCGUCUAGCAGCGGAGGAAUGCAGCCCUCUCGCCAUCAGUCUGCUUCUCAGCAGCCCUGGCCACUUGCUGUGCACAGCUCCAGCUCGGUCCUCCGGGCGCAGGAGCAGCCUGGAGCUGCGUGCAGAGGGGCAGGGCUCCUGCCCGCGGACCGCUUGGAAGGGACCAAAAUAGCACCAGGAGCAUGGGAACAGAGCAGCAGAUCUGUCUUCCCGAGGUAUCCCCUAGAUAAGGACUUCAUCCUGUGUGUCCCAGAUGAAGCUGGGUCUGUUCCCCUGCAUUGCCUCGAUGUGACUGUGGAGCGUCUCCAGCAGGGGAGCUGCGAGCUGGGAGCCGUGAAUAAAGCAUGGGGGAGAUGCUCUCCUCUGCGAAUAAA